GACGAACGGCUGGCGGCGUGCCUAACACAUGCAAGUCGAGCGGAGUCGAUCGACGGAAGCCUUCGGGCGGAAGAUGGUUGACUUAGCGCGGAUGGGUGAGUUAACGCGUGGGCAACCUGCCUCGAAGACCCGGGAGUAACAGGCCCGAAAGGGCUGCUAAUACCGGAUGUGGUCAAGGAUCCGCAUGGAUUUUUGAUUAAGGGGAAACCCGUUUCGAGAUGGGCCCGCGUCCUAUCAGCUAGUUGGUGAGGUAAAAGCUCACCAAGGCGACGACGGGUAGCCGGCCUGAGAGGGUGACCGGCCACACUGGAACUGAGACACGGUCCAGACUCCUACGGGGGGCAGCAGUGGGGAAUCUUCCACAAUGGGCGAAAGCCUGAUGGAGCGACGCCGCGUGAGCGAAGAAGGCCUUCGGGUUGUAAAGCUCUGUCUGGAGGGACGAAGGAAGUGACGGUACCUCCGGAGGAAGCCACGGCUAACUACGUG
rnacentral:rRNA from 1 species